GACGAACGCUGGCGGCGUGCCUAAUACAUGCCAGUAGAACGCACAGUUUAUACCGUAGCUUGCUACACCAUAGACUGUGAGUUGCGAACGGGUGAGUAACGCGUAGGUAACCUGCCUGGUAGCGGGGGAUAACUAUUGGAAACGAUAGCUAAUACCGCAUAAUAUUAAUUAUUGCAUGAUAAUUAAUUGAAAGGUGCAAUUGCACCACUACCAGAUGGACCUGCGUUGUAUUAGCUAGUAGGUGAGGUAACGGCUCACCUAGGCGACGAUACAUAGCCGACCUGAGAGGGUGAUCGGCCACACUGGGACUGAGACACGGCCCAGACUCCUACGGGAGGCAGCAGUAGGGAAUCUUCGGCAAUGGACGAAAGUCUGACCGAGCAACGCCGCGUGAGUGAAGAAGGUUUUCGGAUCGUAAAGCUCUGUUGUAAGAGAAGAACGGGUGUGAGAGUGGAAAGUUCACACUGUGACGGUAUCUUACCAGAAAGGGGCGGCUAACUACGUG
rnacentral:rRNA from 1 species